AUUCCAGCUCCAAUAGCGUAUACUAAAGUUGUUGCAGUUAAAAAGCUCGUAGUUGAAUUUCUGGUCGUGGCGAUCGGUCCGCCCCUCACGGGGUGUGCACCUGGUCUCUACGUCCAUCCUCGGGGAGAGCAUGCCUGGCAUUCAGUUGUCGGGUAUGGGAUCCUCGUCAUUUACUGUGAGCAAAAUAGAGUGUUCAAAGCAGGCUUAGGCCGUUGAAUACAUUAGCAUGGAAUAAUAAGAUAGGACCUUGGUCUAUUUUGUUGGUUUGCAUUCCAAGGUAAUGAUUAAUAGGGAUAGUUGGGGGUAUUCGUAUUCAAUUGUCAGAGGUGAAAUUCUUGGAUUUAUGGAAGACGAACUACUGCGAAAGCAUUUACCAAGGAUGUUUUCAUUG
rnacentral:rRNA from 1 species